GUACACGCUGUGACUAGCAUAUCAAUAAGCGGAGGAAAAGAAACUAACAAGGAUUCCCUCAGUAACGGCGAGUGAAGCGGGAAGAGCUCAAAUUUGAAAUCUUGAAAGGUCACCUUUCACGAAUUGUAGUUUAAAGAAGUGUUUUCUGUUACGAUCGUAAUAUAAGUUCUUUGGAAUAGGACAUCACAGAGGGUGAGAAUCCCGUCUAUGAUUGCGAUUUGUAGCUUUGUGAUACACUUUCAAAGAGUCGGGUUGUUUGGGAAUGCAGCCCAAAACGGGAGGUAAAUUUCUUCUAAGGCUAAAUAUUGGCGAGAGACCGAUAGCGAACAAGUACCGUGAGGGAAAGAUGAAAAGAACUUUGAAAAGAGAGUUAAAUAGUACGUGAAAUUGUCAAAAGGGAAGCGUUUAACACCAGUGUUGUUUUCUGAAAAUCAACCUCUGUUAGCUUUAUGCAUGUUUGUUUAGACCUAAUCAGCUAUCUUGCAUGUUCUAUUGUUUGCAGUGGUGCGCUUUUCAGUUUACAGGUCAACAUCAGUUUUUUUUACCGUAAAAAAGUUAAAGAAAGGUAGCUCAUGGCUCCGGUCGUGAGUGUUAUAGUCUUUUUCCUAUGCGGUAGGAGAGACUGAGGUCUGCAGUGUAGGCUAUUUGGCUAGAUACUCAGGUGCUAUGUGAUACCAUUUCAUAAACAACUUGUUGAUUAUGUUUUGUCUAUUGCAUACUCGCUUGUACUAUCAUACCUACGCUUAGGAUGUUGACGCAUGAGAUAUACGC
rnacentral:rRNA from 1 species